rnacentral:rRNA from 1 species
AGGAGCUUACUUUUCUUGACUUAGUGGCGAACAGGUGAGUAACGCGUGAGUAACCUGCCCUGGAUGGGGGACAACAGUUGGAAACGACUGCUAAUACCGCAUGACACAUUGGGGUCGCAUGGCCUUGAUGUCAAAGAUUUAUCGCUGAAAGAUGGCCUCGCGUCUGAUUAGCUAGUUGGUGAGGUAACGGCCCACCAAGGCGACGAUCAGUAGCCGGACUGAGAGGUUGAACGGCCACAUUGGAACUGAGAUACGGUCCAGACUCC